UACGUAGGGAGCGAGCGUUGUCCGGAUUUAUUGGGCGUAAAGAGCUCGUAGGCGGCUCAGUAAGUCAGGUGUGAAACCUCCAGGCUCAACCUGGAGACGCCACCUGAUACUGCUGUGGCUAGAGUCCGGUAGGGGAGCGUGGAAUUCCUGGUGUAGCGGUGAAAUGCGCAGAUAUCAGGAGGAACACCAGCGGCGAAGGCGGCGCUCUGGGCCGGAACUGACGCUGAGGAGCGAAAGCGUGGGUAGCAAACAGG
rnacentral:rRNA from 1 species